rnacentral:rRNA from 1 species
UUUAAGUGUAAAUAUAUAAACUAAAUUAGUAAUAGUUAUUUUCUUUAAAGUUAAAGAAUUUGGCGGUAUUUUAGUCUAUUCAGAGGAACCUGUUCUAUAAUUGAUAGUCCACGAUUAAUAUUACUUAACUUUAAAAGCUUGUAUAUCGUUGUUUAUAGAAAAUUUUAUCAGAAUAAUAAUUUUUAAUAAAUUUAAUAUAAUUGUAAAUCAAAUCAAGGUGCAGUUUAUAGUUAAGAAGAAAUGGGUUACAAUAAAUUUAUUUAUAAUGGAUUUUUGAUUUAAAUAUUGAGAUGAAGGUGGAUUUGAUAGUAAUAUUAUUUAUUUUAAUAAUAUGAUUUUAGCUCUAAAAUAUGU